UUGUAAGUGGUCCAGCGCCUCCGACGGAAGCGUCUUGGGCCAAAUUCUCUUUUGUGUCGAGUUAGUCUAGAAUCUGUGGUUGUACUUUGCUUGUGGAUUCCUGCGUGCUCAAGGGAACAGCUUCUAUGUCCGGUCAGGGAGCCCCCAGAACGAUUAUCGACUGACGGAGGUACUACAAACUUCGCCAGCGAAGAGAUGGAGGCCAGAACUCUCUCGUGAGAAAACGCGUUAAAAGCCGGCGCCGUCGAGUCAGACGAGACGGCUCUGACAAUACUCCAGUAUCUCAAAACGCCUCUCGGGGAGAUCAACAAGUCGCCAUUUCAGGUUGCGAAGGGUCGCCAGCUUCGUGACGGGGUACUACCUACUACAACUGAAAGACACCUGUUGGUAGACAGGUGUAGUAGUAUUACUGGAGACGGACGAUACGUCAAAGGGAACUGCAAGUGGCAAAAUCGCUGGUGGUUAUACGCGCCCUCGACACCACCAGGAGACUGUCACCCAUCAUGCCAGGCACCCAUGAACGAUGUUUUCAUUUUGCAAAGCUAUUCCUCGGGUGCUGAAACACAACUAGUUAAGCUGAUAGAUGGACGAAGGAAGAUGUGAAUUGUUUAUUAAAAGAAAAAAAAAAUGAAUUUUAGUCGCUAUCAAAAUUAGUAAGUCACCUGGGUCAUAUGGAAGAACCUACCUUGGAAGAUUUCUUUUAAAGAAGUGAGGAACAACUGCUACUGCUUCCUGAAUCACCCAUAGAAAGACUUUGGCGUUGCUUUGGUUCAACUGAUCUUCAUUUCUGCAGUUUUCUUAUAUUUAGUUCUAUAAGAUAUUUAUUGCAUCAUUGGAACACUAGAAAUUUCCGAUGUCUUUCUCAGCAUGGAAGUUUUAUCUUUUAAUAAGUAUACUUGCAUCACUAUUAAUAAUACAUACACUUGUUCCAUCUAUUAUGAGGCUAUACUGAUAAAGUUCAAAGUUAUUUCAGGUUGUACCAAAGCUGCUUUCUACCUAUGGCCCUCAGAACCUAAUCUCUCUUUUGGAGGCUAAUGAUGGAUACCAAAACAUAUUUCAUGAUCAUAAGAAAAUGCACUCUGGUCACCUUUUCAACUGAUCUUUCCGAUAGAUUAUUUUGUCUUCACAACACAGUGACCCAUUACAGAGUUAUACCCAAGUUGGUCGCUAUGCUGCUGCCUCACAAAACCAUGAUUUGCUUCAGUUUGUGGGCCAAAAGAAGGCCUCGUUAAAAGCAUAAAACCAUGAGACAUAUGCCUGAAAUGCACGAUCUCCUCAAAGAUCAUUGGAAUGUGUUGCUCCACAGACAUAAAGAAGUUUUGUAAAUUGAACUACAUUAUCAUCCUGCCUUAAGAAAGACUGAACACCUUGACCAUGGUACAGAUAAUGUGGAGAAGCAUAAGUCAAGGAAAGGUAGGAAGCUCAUCAAACAAGUCUAACCAAUAGGCAGUGCAGUCAAGUCCUGUUGACCAGGCUCAAAUUAUAGCCAGCUAGCAACCAUACACGACAAUAUCUUAGCCUGACCAAAGAUAUUGCAGCUAGCCCAUCAGACUACCAUGAACAGCAGCUUACAGGAUGUAAAAAUCCAGUCCUAAAUAAGGUUAAGCCAACAAGAACACCAGCCUCCUAAGAACAGCAACCUACAAGAACUAGCCUUCCAGGAGCAGAGGUUACUGUGGGCCAAAAAGGACCUCAUUUUUAAAAGCAUAAAAUCUCGAGAUAAAAGCUUAAAAUGCUUGAUCUACUCAUAGAUCACUGGACUUGUUGUUCCAUAGCCAUAAAGAAUUUUUGUAAACUGUACUGGGCUACCUUCCUGUCUAAGGAAGACGGAACAACUUAGCCAAGGUACAGAUAAUGUGGAGAAGCAUAAAACUAGCCAGUACAUCAAAGUCAAGGAAAGGUAGCAAGCUCUUCAACCCUGCCCACAAAUAUUGCUGCUAGCUCAUCAGACCAUAAGCAGUAGAUUACAUUAGUAAUAAAGUAGUCCCAAAUAAGGUUAAGCCAACAAGAACACCAACCCCUAAGAGCAGCAGCUUACAAGAAGGGGAGAACCAACCUUCCAAGAACAACUUCUGCAAAAGGGGAAACC